AGAGUUUGAUCCUGGCUCAGGACGAACGCUGGCGGCGUGCCUAAUACAUGCAAGUCGAGCGAGAAAGCUACCUUCGGGGAGUGAGUAGAGCGGCGAACGGGUGAGUAACGCGUAGAUAAUCUACCCUUGAGAUUGAGAUAACACCGGGAAACUGGUGCUAAUACCGAAUGACGCCUUGGAGUUGGAAUUCCAAGGUUAAAGGGGGGCAACUCCCGCUUGAGGAUGAGUCUGCGUUCUAUCAGCUAGUUGGUGGGGUAAUGGCCUACCAAGGCGAAGACGGAUAGUUGGUCUGAGAGGAUGAUCAGCCACACUGGCACUGAGACACGGGCCAGACUCCUACGGGAGGCAGCAGUAGGGAAUAUUGCGCAAUGGGCGAAAGCCUGACGCAGCGACGCCGCGUGAGUGAUGAAGGUCUUAUUGAUUGUAAAGCUCUGUAAGGAGGGAAGAACAUUCAGUUGUAACGAGCUGAACUGACGGUACCUCCAAAGUAAGGACCGGCUAAAUAUGUGCCAGCAGCCGCGGUAAUACAUAUGGUCCAAGCGUUGUCCGGAAUGACUGGGCGUAAAGGGUGCGUAGGCGGCCACAUAUGUCAGGUGUGAAGUCCCCGGGCUUAACCUGGGAACUGCGCUUGAAACUGUGUGACUGGAGUAUGAGAGAGGCAAGUGGAAUUCCCGGAGUAGCGGUGAAUGCGUAGAGAUCGGGAAGAACACCAGUGGCGAAGGCGACUUGCUGGCUUAUUACUGACGCUGAGGCACGAAAGCGUGGGGAGCGAACGGGAUUAGAUACCCCGGUAGUCCACGCCGUAAACGAUGUAUACUAGAUGUCUGUGAUAAUUAAAUUGUGGGUGUCGGAGCUAACGCGAUAAGUAUACCGCCUGGGGAGUACGGUCGCAAGAUUAAAACUCAAAGGAGUUGACGGGGGCCCGCACAAGCGGUGGAGCAUGUGGUUUAAUUCGAUGCAACGCGCAGAACCUUACCCGGUCUUGACAUCCUUCGGACCGAUCCUAGAGAUAGGAUCUUUCUCUUCGGAGACUGAAGUAACAGGUGCUGCAUGGCUGUCGUCAGCUCGUGUUGUGAGAUGUUGGGUUAAGUCCCGCAACGAGCGCAACCCUUGUCGUUAGUUGCCAUCAUUAAGUUGGGCACUCUAGCGAGACUGCCGAGGUUAACUCGGAGGAAGGCGGGGAUGACGUCAAGUCCUCAUGGCCCUUAUGACCGGGGCUACACACGUGCUACAAUGGUACGGACAGAGUGAAGCUACACUGUAAAGUCAAGCGAAUCACAAAAACCGUAUCUCAGUUCGGAUUGGAGUCUGCAACUCGACUUCAUGAAGCUGGAAUCGCUAGUAAUCGCGGAUCAGCAUGCCGCGGUGAAUACGUUCCCGGGCCUUGUACACACCGCCCGUCACACCAUGGGAGCUGUUCUUACUGGAAAACGUUGGGCUAGCCUUCGGGAGGCAGGCGUUAAUGGUGAGGAUAGUGACUGGGGUGAAGUC
rnacentral:rRNA from 1 species